AGCAGCCGCGGUAAUUCCAGCUCCAAUAGCGUAUAUUAAAGUUGCUGCAAGUUAAAAAGCUCGUAGUUGAAUUUCGGGACCAUUCAUGUCGGUCGUGCCUAGGUACGUACUGGUAUUGUUGGUUUCUCCCUCCUGACGAACCAUGAUGUCAUUUAUUUGGUGUUGUGGGGAAUCAGGACUGUUACUUUGAAAAAAUUAGAGUGUUUAAAGCAGGCUCACGCUUGAAUACAUUAGCAUGGGAAUAAUGAAAUAGGACGUUUGAUUCUAUUUUGUUGGUUUCUAGGAUCGACGUAAUGAUUAAUAGGGAUAGGUUGGGGGCAUUAGUAUUCAAUUGUCAGAGGUGAAAUUCUUGGAUUUAUUGAAGACUAACUACUGCGAAAGCAUUUGCCAAGGAUGUUUUCAUUAAUCAAGAACGAAGGGUUAGGGGAUCGAAGACGAUCAGAUACCGUCGUAGUCUUAACCAUAAACUAUGCCGAUUAGGGAUCGGAUGAUGUUUAAUUUUUAAUGACUCAUUCGGCGU
rnacentral:rRNA from 1 species